ensembl:lncRNA
GGAGAUGGGUGUAUGGAAGAGGAUGAUGAGACAAUGUGAGGAAAUUGAACACGACUGUAAAAAAAAUAUAAAAAAAAUCUUUAUAGGUAAUUGGAAGCCCAUUGCUUUUACAGUGGACGACAGUGACCUCUUGGUUUGAGAUUGAGGGAAGAAGAGAAUGUUUGCUGUGUACUUUACAGAUGGACCCUAGUCCUAUUGGAAGUAUGGCUCAGUGUGUAUGGACUUGAUGAAACGUCUAAUUCAAAUAGACAAUGUCCUGCUGUAGCUAAAAGUAAAUAUUCACAAAGGUAAAGUCAAUGUGUAUCUAUCUAAAAAUAUCUAUGAUGUAUAAUCGUGGCACAAUCACCAUCACGUACACCAGGGCUUAGUGGCAACACAAAUCGUCCAGGUGUUCCCAGUUGACACGUGGUGAUAAAACUAUACAGGCAUGACUAAUACACAGACCUUUGCAGAGGAGAAUAGGGGUUAGCCUGCCCAGAUGGAGGCCCUCAUUAACACCUAGCCUAACGACAUUCUGUUUCCUCUCAGAGAAAAGAAAUCCAGGAAAUCCUUUGGUAACUAUGUUGGCGCCCGACGUGGUUCUCUCCAGAGUUCUAGGCCUUGAAAUAGAUUAGAGACAGCCAUUUGCUCUCAGCUCUUUCAAAAAACACGUCAAGAACUGAUAGAGGAAGACGGAGCUACAGAGAGUGUGAAGAAAGGUGUCACAUUGUCGUAAGGGUCUGCUCGUUCAUCACUGGCCCCAUCCCGAGGAAUCGUCGCAGAGUGAAUAGUCCUUGAUAGAACCAGAUUGAUGUCGUCGCAAUUUACUUGACAGCAAGUUGAUUGUGUCACCAGCCUUCUUAAGCGCCCUCUUUCAUCCUGCCAAUCCAUCCAAUCCACACAAGGGGCCUCAUCUUUCAAAGGCCCCUCUGAAUGCGAUAAGCAAGGGAGAUCAGAGUGAGGUGCCUGCCUGCUCACAGAUGUGCUUCAAACGACGACGGGGGGGAAGGAAGGAACGUCACGCUCUGCGACGCUAUCUCUACAUCUCCACCCGCAUCUGCUGCUACCAACCAACAUCUCUCUAACCUCCCUCACCCCCCCCCCAUCCAUCCCACAUUUGUCAUGUGUGCCAUAUAGCCUUGACGUAGUUGGAAGGAACAAAGCAUGAGACAAAAGUUCCUUGCGGAUCCAAAAAU